GACGAACGCUGGCGGCGUGCUUAACACAUGCAAGUCGAACGGAAAGGCCCUGCUUUUGUGGGGUGCUCGAGUGGCGAACGGGUGAGUAACACGUGAGUAACCUGCCCUUGACUUUGGGAUAACUUCAGGAAACUGGGGCUAAUACCGGAUAGGAGCUCCUGCUGCAUGGUGGGGGUUGGAAAGUUUCGGCGGUUGGGGAUGGACUCGCGGCUUAUCAGCUUGUUGGUGGGGUAGUGGCUUACCAAGGCUUUGACGGGUAGCCGGCCUGAGAGGGUGACCGGCCACAUUGGGACUGAGAUACGGCCCAGACGCCUACGGGAGGCAGCAGGGGGGAAUAUUGCACAAUGGGCGGAAGCCUGAUGCAGCAACGCCGCGUGCGGGAUGACGGCCUUCGGGUUGUAAACCGCUUUCGCCUGUGACGAAGCGUGAGUGACGGUAAUGGGUAAAGAAGCACCGGCUAACUACGUG
rnacentral:rRNA from 1 species